GAUGAACGCUGGCGGCGUGCCUAAUACAUGCAAGUCGAGCGAACAGACGAGGAGCUUGCUCCUCUGACGUUAGCGGCGGACGGGUGUGUAACACGUGGAUAACCUACCUAUAAGACUGGGAUAACUUCGGGAAACCGGAGCUAAUACCGGAUAAUAUAUUGAACCGCAUGGUUCAAUAGUGAAAGACGGUUUUGCUGUCACUUAUAGAUGGAUCCGCGCCGCAUUAGCUAGUUGGUAAGGUAACGGCUUACCAAGGCAACGAUGCGUAGCCGACCUGAGAGGGUGAUCGGCCACACUGGAACUGAGACACGGUCCAGACUCCUACGGGAGGCAGCAGUAGGGAAUCUUCCGCAAUGGGCGAAAGCCUGACGGAGCAACGCCGCGUGAGUGAUGAAGGUCUUCGGAUCGUAAAACUCUGUUAUUAGGGAAGAACAAAUGUGUAAGUAACUAUGCACGUCUUGACGGUACCGAAUCAGAAAGCCACGGCUAACUACGUG
rnacentral:rRNA from 1 species